rnacentral:rRNA from 1 species
CCUACGGGAGGCUGCAGUGGGGAAUAUUGGGCAAUGGGCGCAAGCCUGACCCAGCAACGCCGCGUGAAGGAAGACGGCUUUCGGGUUGUAAACUUCUUUUGUCCCGGAAGAGUAGAAGACUGUGCCUGACGCAUAAGCAACGGCUAACUACGUGCCAGCAGCGGCGGUAAUACGUAGGUGGCAAGCGUUGUCCGGAUUUACUGGGUGUAAAGGGCGUGUAGCCGGGUUGACAAGUCAGAUGUGAAAUCCUGAGGCUUAACCGCAGAACUGCAUUUGAAACUGUUGAUCUUGAGUACUGGAGAGGCAGAUGGAAUGCCUAGUGUAGCGGUGAAAUGCUUAGAUAUUAGGAGGAACACCAGUGGCGAAGGCGGUCUGCUAGACAGCAACUGACGGUGAGGCGCGAAAGCGUGGGGAGCAAACAGGAUUAGAUACCCCAGUAGUC